rnacentral:lncRNA from 1 species
AAUAUAGCUGACUAAAACUGUAAAAAUAUAUGAUAAUGAAACUGAUCCAAAACUGCAUCUGUUUCAGAUAUAAUAUACAUUGGGACAGUGUAGCAAGUGUAUUUCCAUCAAAGAAGCAUCAAGACUCAAGAAUAUCCUUGACCUUUAUGAACAGAAUGACACUUUUGCCCUCUCCAACUUCUCAUUGUAUAAAUGGCAAAGAGUAAAGAAGAGAAAAGGAAAACAGCCUGGCAUGGCAACUGCAGAGGAGACCAGCAUGUCUGCCCUCCCUCCCAGACAAGGAGCACAGACAGAAGUGUCUGGCAAAGGAAUCAGCAUAGACAUUGCUCCUCACUUGUUCUUUUCUGCAACACCAGGGCUGUGAAAGCUAAAGCCCAUUCGUGCGCAGAUCUUCAUGACUUGUCUCAGUGA